UACAGAGGUCCCAAGCGUUGUUCGGAUUCAUUGGGCGUAAAGGGUGCGUAGGUGGCGCUGUAAGUCAGGUGUGAAAUCUCGGGGCUCAACCCCGAAACUGCACUUGAUACUGCGGUGCUUGAGGACUGGAGAGGAGAUCGGAAUUCAUGGUGUAGCAGUGAAAUGCGUAGAUAUCAUGAGGAAGACCAGUGGCGAAGGCGGAUCUCUGGACAGUUCCUGACACUGAGGCACGAAGGCCAGGGGAGCAAACGGG
rnacentral:rRNA from 1 species